CCUACGGGAGGCAGCAGUGAGGAAUAUUGGUCAAUGGACGAGAGUCUGAACCAGCCAAGUAGCGUGAAGGAUGACUGCCCUAUGGGUUGUAAACUUCUUUUAUAAAGGAAUAAAACGAGGCACGUGUGCCUUUUUGCAUGUACUUUAUGAAUAAGGAUCGGCUAACUCCGUGCCAGCAGCCGCGGUAAUACGGAGGAUCCGAGCGUUAUCCGGAUUUCUUGGGGUUAAAGGGAGCGUAGAUGGGUUGUUAAGUCAGUUGUGAAAGUUUGCGGCUCAACCGUAAAAUUGCAAUUGAUACUGGCAGUCUUGAGUACAGUUGAGGUAGGCGGAAUUCGUGGUGUAGCGGUGAAAUGCUUAGAUAUCACGAAGAACCCCGAUUGCGAAGGCAGCUUACUAAACUGUGACUGACAUUGAUGCUCGAAAGUGUGGGUAUCAAACAGGAUUAGAUACCCCUGUAGUC
rnacentral:rRNA from 1 species